rnacentral:rRNA from 1 species
UGGCUCAGAACGAACGCUGGCGGCGUGCUUAACACAUGCAAGUCGAACGAUGAAGCUGGAGCUUGCUCCGGUGGAUUAGUGGCGAACGGGUGAGUAACACGUGAGCAAUCUGCCCUUCACUCUGGGAUAACUGCGGGAAACUGUAGCUAAUACCGGAUACGAUCCCUGGGGGCAUCCCUGGGGAUCNAAANAAUUUCGGUGAAGGAUGAGCUCGCGGCCGGUGAGCUAGUUGUUGACGUAAUGGCUCAGCAAAAAGACGACGGGUAGCCGGCCUGAGAGGGUGACCGGCCACUCUUGCACUGGACACGGACCAGACUCCUAC